AGAGUUUGAUCCUGGCUCAGAACGAACGCUGGCGGCAGGCUUAACACAUGCAAGUCGAACGCACCGCAAGGUGAGUGGCAGACGGGUGAGUAACGCGUGGGAACGUGCCCUUCAGUUCGGGAUAACCCAGGGAAACUUGGGCUAAUACCGGAUACGUGCGAGAGCAGAAAGAUUUAUCGCUGAAGGAUCGGCCCGCGUCUGAUUAGCUAGUUGGUAGGGUAAUGGCCUACCAAGGCGACGAUCAGUAGCUGGUCUGAGAGGAUGAUCAGCCACAUUGGGACUGAGACACGGCCCAAACUCCUACGGGAGGCAGCAGUGGGGAAUAUUGGACAAUGGGCGCAAGCCUGAUCCAGCCAUGCCGCGUGAGUGAUGAAGGCCUUAGGGUUGUAAAGCUCUUUCGGCGGGGACGAUAAUGACGGUACCCGCAGAAGAAGCCCCGGCUAACUUCGUGCCAGCAGCCGCGGUAAUACGAAGGGGGCUAGCGUUGUUCGGAAUCACUGGGCGUAAAGGGCGCGUAGGCGGCCUGAUAAGUCGGGGGUGAAAGCCUGUGGCUCAACCACAGAAUUGCCUUCGAUACUGUCGGGCUUGAGACCGGAAGAGGUCAGUGGAACUGCGAGUGUAGAGGUGAAAUUCGUAGAUAUUCGCAAGAACACCAGUGGCGAAGGCGGCUGACUGGUCCGGUUCUGNNGCUGANNNNNGAAAGCGUGGGGAGCAAACAGGAUUAGAUACCCCAGUAGUCC
rnacentral:rRNA from 1 species